rnacentral:rRNA from 1 species
UACGUAGGGUGCGAGCGUUAAUCGGAAUUACUGGGCGUAAAGCGUGCGCAGGCGGUUCGUUAAGUCAGAUGUGAAAGCCCCGGGCUCAACCUGGGAACUGCAUUUGAAACUGGCGGGCUUGAGUGUGGCAGAGGGGGGUGGAAUUCCGCGUGUAGCAGUGAAAUGCGUAGAGAUGCGGAGGAACACCGAUGGCGAAGGCAGCCCCCUGGGCCAACACUGACGCUCAGGCACGAAAGCGUGGGGAGCAAAC